rnacentral:rRNA from 1 species
UACGUAGGGUGCAAGCGUUAAUCGGAAUUACUGGGCGUAAAGCGUGCGCAGGCGGCUUUGCAAGACAGAUGUGAAAUCCCCGGGCUCAACCUGGGAACUGCAUUUGUGACUGCAUGGCUUGAGUGCGGCAGAGGGGGAUGGAAUUCCGCGUGUAGCAGUGAAAUGCGUAGAUAUGCGGAGGAACACCGAUGGCGAAGGCAAUCCCCUGGGCCUGCACUGACGCUCAUGCACAAAAGCGUGGGGAGCAAACAGG